rnacentral:rRNA from 1 species
UGACGGGCCCGCACAAGCAGCGAGCGUGUGGUUAAUUCGAUGCUACACGAAGUAACCUUACCAGGGUUUGACAUGCAAGUGGUAGGAAACCGAAAGGCGACCGACCCUUCGGGGAGCUUGCACAGGUGCUGCAUGGCUGUCGUCAGCUCGUGUCGUGAGAUGUUCGGUUAAGUCCGCUAACGAGCGCAACCCUCGCUGUGUGUUACAAGUGUCACACGGUACUGCCGGUCUUAAGCCGGAGGAAGGUGGGGAUGACGUCAAGUCAGCAUGGCCUUUAUGUCCUGGGCUACACACACGCUACAAUGGCCAACACAAUAGGUUGCUAAGCCGCGAGGUGGAGCCAAUCCUCAAAGUUGGUCUCAGUUCAGAUUGCAGGCUGCAACCCGCCUGCAUGAAGAUGGAGUUGCUAGUAACCGCAGGUCAGCUAUACUGCGGUGAAUACGUUCCCGGGGCUU